GAUACCCAUCCAACCUCAACCACCCAACUUUUCAGCAUCUAAAACUGAUUUUCACGUCAUCCGCUUACUAGUGAACAAGACUACUAAAAUGAUGUCACUGUUCAUUAAUAUACUAAAUGCUUUACAUAUAUUAUUAGUUCAUCAAAUCAACAGAAAGGCAUUGUGAUUUAUAUUUGUGGGUACUGUACCUCAGAAAGGCUAUGUAUCUGCCUUAGAAUUCACAGCCAACAUUUGUACCAAGAUGUUAAAAGCAGGUCUCACUAUAAAGUCCUUGUUUUUUCCAUUGUGUAAUGGAAAUACAGCCCUAAUCUAUGUCUGCCAAAUAUUUUGCAAUCUUUGAUGUUACAUUCCUUUGAUAUUUUACGAAGCAACUGAAGAUAAAUUUCAUUCCAUUCAAGCUGCAUCAACUUUCAACAUGGUUUGUCUGUUCAGGCCUGUUCAAGUUUUGAAUUGUUCUGGUCAAACAAAUCCAGUUUCAAGAUUCCAUAAGAUUAAGGGAUUGGCCAAAUGAGGAUUGGAACGGAAGCUAGAUCCCCAGAGAAUGGCUAGUUAUAGUGAAUUUAAUCAAUGAGUACAGGCACAGAAUAUAUAGGCAUAGCUUUGGAUCCUCAGGUACAGACAUACAGUGCUGGGGACAUAGGAUAGCAGGUCCUUAACAUUGUUACGUCAUAGUAGCGGAAUCGAUAUAUUGUAUAACAAAAGUCCUGCCUUUCGAAAGGCAUCUUCUUUCUCCUUUUCGAUCCUAACUCCCCAAAACUUGCUCGGCAGGAUCCUUGAGGGAAGCCCAAGUAGAAACUAACCCGGGAGCUCCUCUCGGUGCCAGGAAAGCGUCGCCAGCCCUUAUUUUACCCUCGCUCGCCACCCUCCCCGCCUUGGCGUUCUCUCCUCCUACCUCCCGGGCUCUCGGUAGAGCAACCACGGACAAGUGCAGGCGUGCCAGGUCCAUCCCGCCCAAACGCCCCUCUGCAGUCCCAAUCAGGGCGGGAGGCUGGACAGCGGCCUUCGACUAAGAGGCGGGAGAAGGCAGCGGGAGAUCCGCCUCAGGUUAUUGAAUUCACUGGAGAAUGAGUGCUGUCCUAAAUCUGUUAUUUUAGGGAAGUACUACAAGAUGUCUGUCUCGUAAAGUGAUGGUGGGAGGCCUCAAAGUCAAAAUGGAAGAGAAGCACGCUAGCCAGCAUGGAAGAAUCAUCAGUGGGAAAGUCAAUGGCACAGUAACAAGCACGUUUUUAAAAUAAACCAAGUCAU